AUGCCUAGUCUCGUGGGCUCGGAGAUGUGUAUAAGAGACAGUUUAAAGAGUGCGUAACAGCUCACUAGUCGAGAAAACCUGCGCCGAAAAUUUAACGGGGCUAAAACACGACACCGAAGCUACGGCUUGACAGCUAACGCUGUUAGGGGUAGAGGAGCAUCCUGCAAGGACGAAGCCAAAGUGGAAACGAUGGUGGACGAAACAGGAGAGAGAAUGCCGGAAUGAGUAGCGAGAUAGAAGUAAGAAACUUCUAGGCCGAAUAUCUAAGGUUUCCUGGGUAAAGCUAAUCUUCCCAGGGUUAGUCGGGGCCUAAGGCGAGGACGAAAGUCGUAGUCGAUGGAUAACAGGUUGAUAUUCCUGUACUACGUAUCAUCAGAACUGUGGGGACGCAGGAGGAUAGGAAAACCGGGGAAUGGAAAAACCCGGCUAAGCACAAAGUCAAGGGAGAUAGGCAAAUCCGUCUCUUGAUGAUGAAGUGCGAUGGGGACUGAACAAAAGUAGGGAAGUUUCCGAAUCCACACUGUCGAGAAAAGCCGCUAUUGUGUGAUACGUACCCGUACCGUAAACCGACACAGGUAGAUGAGGAGAAAAUCCACAGGCCGACGGGAGAAGUGUUGUUAAGGAACUCGGCAAAAUGACCCCGUAACUUAGGGAGAAGGGGAGCCACGCAAGUGGCCGCAGAAAAGAGGCUCAAGCGACUGUUUAGCAAAAACACAGGUCUCUGCGAAACCGAAAGGUGAAGUAUAGGGGCUGACACCUGCCCGGUGCUGGAAGGUUAAAAGGAGAGGUUCGACGUAAGUCAAAGCUUUGAAUUCAAGCCCCAGUAAACGGCGGCCGUAACUAUAACGGUCCUAAGGUAGCGAAAUUCCUUGUCAGGUAAGUUCUGACCCGCACGAAAGGUGUAACGAUUUGAGCACUGUCUCGACAACACGCCCGGUGAAAUUGAAGAACCAGUGAAGAUACUGGUUACCCGCAACAGGACGGAAAGACCCCAUGGAGCUUUACUGCAGCCUGAUACUGGGAUUCGAUGAUAUAUGUACAGGAUAGGAGGGAGACUAGGAAUCCGGGACGCCAGUUUCGGAGGAGUCGACGGUGGGAUACCUCUCUUAUGUUAUUGGAUUUCUAACUUGGCACCGUGAUCCGGUGUGAGGACAAUGUCAGGCGGGCAGUUUGACUGGGGCGGUCGCCUCCUAAAAGGUAACGGAGGCGCUCGAAGGUCACCUCAGAAUGAUUGGAAACCAUUCAAAGAGUGUAAAGGCAAAAGGUGGCUUGACUGCGACACCGACGGGUGGAGCAGGUACGAAAGUAGGACUUAGUGAUCCGGUGGUAUAAAGUGGGAUUGCCAUCGCUCAACGGAUAAAAGCUACCCUGGGGAUAACAGGCUUAUCACUCCCAAGAGUUCACAUCGACGGAGUGGUUUGGCACCUCGAUGUCGGCUCAUCGCAUCCUGGGGCUGAAGUAGGUCCCAAGGGUUGGGCUGUUCGCCCAUUAAAGCGGUACGCGAGCUGGGUUCAGAACGUCGUGAGACAGUUCGGUCCCUAUCCGUUGUGGGCGCAGGAAAUUUGAGAGGAGCUGUCCUUAGUACGAGAGGACCGGGAUGGACGUACCUCUGGUGUACCGGUUGCAGACCAACUGCACAGCCGGGUAGCUAUGUAUGGAACGGAUAAACGCUGAAGGCAUCUAAGCGUGAAGCCGCCCUCAAGAUAAGAUUUCCCAUUCU
rnacentral:rRNA from 1 species